AUCCUUCUGAAUCGGUGCCGAGAUUUCGUCAGAUAACAGGCCUUCAGUACUGAUGAGAUUCCCAUGAUUAUUGGAGCG
rnacentral:pre_miRNA from 1 species